AAACAAUCGCAUGAGUGCUGCUGUUUGACUGAAGCAGAAGAAUAAAGUAGUCGUGCCUGCCCUGUCUUCAACUGGUGACGCAGUAAUCUACCUGCUGCGGCUCACCUUUGUAUUGGCUCAUCAGCGGGCUCAGGUCGUACACUUUGCCCAGAAAGGACACCCACAGGUCCUCCGCCGUGUUGUGAGCCGCCACCUCCGAGGGAGUGAAGUACCUGGGCCGUCCUAUCAUCUGCAGGCAGCUGUGUCCAAA